rnacentral:misc_RNA from 1 species
GAUGAAGAACGUAGCGAAAUGCGAUACGUAAUGUGAAUUGCAGAAUUCAGUGAAUCAUCGAGUCUUUGAACGCACAUUGCGCCCCCUGGUAUUCCGGGGGGCAUGCCUGUCCGAGCGUCAUUGCUGCCCUCAAGCACGGCUUGUGUGUUGGGCCUCCGUCCUCCUCCCGGGGGACGGGCCCGAAAGGCAGCGGCGGCACCGCGUCCGGUCCUCGAGCGUAUGGGGCUUCGUCACCCGCUCUUGUAGGUCCGGCCGGCGCUUGCCGACACAUCAAUCUUUUUUCCAGGUUGACCUCGGAUCAGGUAGGGAUACCCGCUGAACUUAAGCAUAUCAAUAAGCGGAGGA